AAAUUGAACUGGAGUUGUAAAACCUAAACUUGCGCCAGGCCUCCCCUGUUAAAUUCCUUGUUUUCCACCCUGCUUUGCGAGAUGGGAACAAUGGCAGCAUUGAAGCCCUGCAGCAGAGUGAGGUGAUGGAGUUUCGAGGCUGGGCCGGGUGCGUGUCGGGGGGCACGCGCUGGCCAGGCCCCACCGAGGUGGGGGCAGCUGAGGCGGGCUGGGGGUGGCACGGCCUUUUGGGAAACAAGGAGGAGAGAUGAAUGCAGCAGUAGGCCAGCUCUAGUCCCUGCCAUGGCCAGAGGGCCCCAGGAGCUUCACCUGGGGCAGGACAUCCGAGGCAAGGCCUCUGCCCACAGCCCUCAGCAGCACCCGUCCUGCAGCUGCCAACAGGACAGGUCUCAUCUGCUGCUGGCACCAUCUCUGCGGCCACAAGUCCCUCUGCAAACCAUGCUGCACUGGCUGCAGCUGUGUCACACGGCUUUGGGAACAGCUGAAGGUGAAGGAGCAUCUCCUGCCUCCUUUCUGCUGCUCUGGAGGACGCUUUGUUGAAGCCUCCUGAGGGCCAGGCCAUCGAUGCCAAUGUGGUCAGGAGGGAAAAGGUGUUAGUUUCUCAUAGGAGCUACAACUCCAGCAUGAGUAACUUGGACACGCUGUUUGGCUUCUAAAAGAGAUGUUAGUUCAUCAGAGUGUGAGUCUUGUGGCGGCAGCAGAGAGCAGGCCACUUCGUCUGAAGCAAAGGAACAAAACCAGAUCACAAUUUCUGCGAGGGUCUCCUGAUACUAGUGCAAUCUGAAUGUCAUUAGUGAGCUGAGCCAGGACUUCUUCGUGGUGUUCUCUGUCUUCACUGUGUCACCACCUGAAGGAAUAAAAGCCUGAUCUCUGCCUCUUUGGAGAGAUGAACAAGAUCCCAAAUGUUACAUCUGCAGUGCUCUGUAUUUCUCUAGAUAUAAAAAGUUAAGAGUCAAAUACCUUGUCUUUGAGUAGUACAAUGACUAAUGCAUACUUUUGUUAUUCAGGGUCAAAUGGUCACUUGCUUUGUUUACUUUACAAAUGGUAGCAACAUUGUGUGGCCAAAAAAAAUCGUGCUGUGGUCUCAGGAUGAACAUAACUCCAAGUGUGGCAGUGGGGCAGUGAGACAUGCCUCUGAGAAGCUCACCAAGCUGCAAGGAUUCAUGCUCAGACCUCAUGGGUGCUGCUCUUUCACUUGAGUCACUGUAGGCACUUGACACUUGUCAAGCACAGACUCAACAACAUCCUCUUCAGCUAAGCAGUGGCCCUACCAGGCUCAGCACUUUUUGCUCCUUGAUUGUCCUCAUUCUUCUAGACAGAAGUAAAUACAUAUUUGUGAGGUAGCUUUGAAGUCUCUGGUGGUACUCUGGAGGUUGAAGAAAGACACUAGAACAGAGUUGUAGUUUCUUUAAAGCACUAUGAACAUUUAUAGAAAAAGAAUAACAAGCAAAAAAAUAAAUGCUUUAAUAAUACCAGAAACAGAGAUAUGAAAAAGAGACCCUUGGGUGGAAGAGGAAGAAACCUACUUGAUAGCACUAAAAUGUAAUAAGGGGCAAACAAUCUAAAAUUGAAAUAUGAGUUCCAAUUACAUUUUAUGCUCAAAGCAGUUAGAUGUUAUUGCAGUUUACAUGAGAAUUAAAACAGAAUUGUAAAAAUUGGAAGUGUGGCGUUGAGGGAAAGCUGCCAUGCUUUGGCCCAGCUCUCAACAGGGACUUUGUCAGUGAGGGAAGGAAUCCCAAGUUACUGGAUGUGAAUGACAGACCCGCUGCUUUUGAGUGUCAUUGGCUGUGGAAACUGAUUUGCUUGCACUAGACUGACUCAAAGGGCUACACUACAUCAGGCAAGAAGGUCUGAACCGGUAUUUUGUGUACUGCAGUAUACUUCUAUAAGAACAAGGAAAAUCUACUGAGUUUAGAGAUUAGCAGACAAUUGCUUCACUAUUCUUGACAUUGUAUACUUCAUGUACCCUAGUAUGGUUAGUUAAUAUAUAUUAGUUUAAUAUAUACCUAAAUGUCUUGCAGGGUCAGAUGGAGUUUUUCACGGAGAUGAUAGACUCAAAUGGACGUGGAUGUUCUGGCUAACCUAUUAUUCAUUCCUUAUGAAGCAGGAAAAAAAUGGUAAAUAGUUCUUCAAGGUGGAGUUAUAUUUUUCUGAAAAAGGGAGGAACUAUGAAAGAGAAAUCUCAGAGUAGCAGAGAAAGAAAUGGAUGGAGCAAUGCACUGGAAGUUGGAAGCUCAGAUUUGAUUUUUGACUUUGCUGCUUCCAUACUGUGAGACUCCUGGCAGGUCAUUUCACCUGUCUGUUCCCCUUCCUGCUCUUGUGUCUAACUUGUCAAUUGAAAGUGGUAGUAACUUAGGCCAGAGGUUGCUUGUAGGAUCCAAUGCUCUUAAUGUCUGGCUCUGUUAAAGGGUUGCAGUUACUAAUGCUCCUCUAGUAAAAAGAGGCAUUGAAAAAAAAAAAAAACAAACCCAGUUGAUAGGAGACAGUAGGAGUUAGAUGAUUAGAUACACUAGUAUAGAAAAAGAACACUCAGAAGCAGAAUCUCAAAAUUAUAAAGAAAAUACCCUGAUUAUUUUAAUGUUGUGAAAGAACAGGAGUAAGGAAUAGGAACAAAGAAAUAUAGUCAGAGUAUAACUGUGCCCUCCUACAGAGAAAUGAACAGAACAAGUUGGCCCUUUCUUUGACUUCUACAAACUUCUGUUGAGUUCUCAAGAAACUGAAAGUGGAGCUGAGGUGGGAACAAUAACUUCCUAGAAGUGUGCUUCUUGAAGAAUGGCUGUCCUGCACUGAUCCUGUGGCUCUGUUCCUACUCUGGAGUGAAUAUUCUGCAGCUUUAGUUCAGCUAAAAUGCCUCCUCCCUUCACUGCUUGCACAUAAAUUGCUAUUAAUGUUACCAUGUUAUACAAGUGCAUUGGGGAGGAAAAUAGGCCCACUAAUGCAUUGUCCUGCUCCAGUGUUUUUUAACCUGGAGGAUGCCACGCUAUUCCAUGGACUGUGGGUGGGCACAGGCCACAGGAAAAAAGCAACAGAGGUGGGACGUUCUCCAUAAGGCUGCAUCUGCCUCACCCUUUCUUCCCCAUGCUUCUCCCCAGGCUGUGUGCAAAGCUUAACGCAGAUAAAGCAUAUGCUCCCACAGUUGCCUUAUGGCCUUCCUUCCCUGCUCACAUGACAACCGUCACUUGUAGUCAGCCAUGGUAGCAGCUCAAAGGGAUCCAGGGCCUGCAGGCUCAGGCUGCAGCUGGCUACUCCAAGCUUCCUUUUUAUUAUCUGAAUUCAUUUACAGUGGCCAUGGAACAUGUGUCUACCUCAGACUGGAAGGGCUACCAGUGGACAGGUCAAUUCCACAGGCAGCAGGUAGCUUCUGCCCUGGGCAGGAGAAAAAGAGAAGAUGGUAAUUAAGGAUCCAACUCAGUCCCCUCCCCAGCACUGCUGAGCUCCAUGGCAGGCCCCCAAGGAAAGGAGUUAAAAAAAAAAUAAAAUUGUCCCCAUUACUAUUAUUUAUAUCAAUGCUACUAUUUUCCCUGUUGUUAUUAAAUAAGAACAAAGUGAAUGGAAAUAUUUUUUCUCUCUUGACAGAGCACAGACACAUGGCUGCUUAUGUCUUUUAUGUUUUGCCAUGGAUUAAUUAGAAGGGGACAUGCAGUUGGGAGGGAGAUACCCCUCUGCCAGUUGAGCACAAAGCAGGCAAACCCAGAUGAACUCACACAAAUGCCAUGGACAUGCAUCUUGGAAGCCCCAAAUCCCCCUGUGCACGCAACUGAACAAACGCUUUAUCUGAGCUGAACUGCACCAACUUCAGUGCAGGCUGGCUGUGCACAGCAGCCAGUGUGAGCCUGCCACAAGGUAGGGCAUCACUCUCAAAAACUUAUACCAGUUACACACAAGUGACAGGAAAGUCUCACCUGAUGACACAAGUUUUUGCAGAAAAAUCUAGAAAUGCAACUUGAGCGGAGUUCUAAAACAAUAAUGAGCAAGUAACUUAAAAAAUUUCAGCACUUGCUGUCUUGCUGUCCCUUGAAAAAUUCCUCACACUUACUAACGCCUUAAAACUCUUGAUAACAGCAGCUGAUGAAAGCCAGAAAUAUCUCCAAGUGGGCAUAAAAAGAGAUUAAUUUGCUUGAAAUCACAUACAGAAAAAUGGAAACCCAGAAAUAUUUACUAUCCUCUCCUCUUCAUGACAUCAGUGUUUGCAAAAGGUCCUGGAUUGACAACCCAAGAAAAUACAGCUCUCUCUUUCACUAUGGACAGAACAAAUCAAAGGCAGUGGAAAUGCAAGCAUUCUAUUUUCUGAACAUACCAGCAUAGCUCAGCUAACUCAUCUCUCUUAAAGGGUGAAAAAAUCCUUGUGCUUCUACAGACCUAAUAGGUGGCCUGCCUUGCAACUAACUCACAAACCAUUUGUAACUGUAUGAAGCAGACACAAAACACAAUUGUUCUACUUAGAACCACUGUAUAUCUAUUUUGUACAGCUGUAAAAAACUACAUUACAUGCAAGGUGUCCUUAUCUUGGCCUCUUUUCUGAAAUGGCCAGCAAAGGUAUCAAGUAUAAUAGAGAGAUCUGUUAACAACAAAAUGAAACAACCUUUAAAAUGAAAUUCAUGUGUACUAUCGAGUGCCUACAUCGCUUAUAUUGCUCAGUAAUUACCUGCUUUGACAGGAUUUUAGCAAUGAAGAUAUGAGAGCUUCAUGGUGUAGUGUUAUUAAUAUGGGUAAAAGAAUGCAGGAAACAAGGCACUAAUAGCACUAAUACUGACAUGUAAGAAACUAUACCAUGUAAGUUUGAACUGUCUGGAUUAGGCCUCUUACUCUCUCCAGUAACUGUUUAUGCAUGCUGAAAAGAUGCUGCUUACCAACUACUGCAAAGCACUGCACAAUCUGGAAAUGAUAGGAGGAAGCUCUGCCUAAAAAUUAGGCCAACCUUUUCAUAUUUGACUAAUGAAAUGUGUGUGCCUUCACUUGCCAGUGUCUCAGCCUCUGACCUUGAUGUGCAACUGACUUCCAGUGGAUAGAUGGUCGUGACAAUGAAAUACUGUAGUAGAAUGCAUUAAUAACAAGAAUGUGUUUAUGCUGUUAUUUUUAUAUUAUUCCGGAACUGACAAACCCACCCCUGCUUACAAAAAACAAGAGGGUGGGGCGUUUACAAUACUUUUGUCACAUCUUAAGAAAAUACGUGCAGGCUAAUUUAAAAUGCUUCCUCAGAAACAUGGAUACAAUUUGGUUUUCUAAUAUAGCUUGUACUUUACUGCAUUGUAUUAUUCAGACAUAAGAAAUAUUAUUUCACAGUUAUUUAACAUAAUUCUGCCAUCCUCAGAAAAGGGGCUGGGGAAUGAAAGAAGAGUGGACAAGCCAUGGGAAGAUGCUGCAAUUAACCAUAUUACACUGGGAAAAAGCUCAGGACUGAGAAUAUAUGGAAUAAACUCUGCAACAUCCUUGGAUGUGUAAAGCCAUCAUGAAACACAAACAUUGCUCUCCUACUGGAAAAAAAUUAGUACAUUUCCACUGUUAUUAUAACUAUUAUUUCUUAAGAUUUUUUUUAUUUUUUUUUUUCUAAUAUGACAAUUGCUUGGCUGGAAGUCAGCAUCCCACCUAGAGACAGAGGUGCACAAAAAAAUUAGUUCUUCCUAACUCUAAGAAUAAAUGCCACGUGUCUUCUGCUUAAAAACCAUGAGGGUCUCAUGUCACAUAUGUUCAGGCCCUCGUAAACAUUUAUACACAGGGGCAGUGUACACAGUAUGCUUCCACACUGUGUUUGAUUUCUGUAGUGGAAGGGAGCUUCUCCCAAAAAGUUAGACUACGUUUCCAACACCCGUCAGCACAACCGCCAUGCAGCCACGUAAAAGCUGCCGGCCUCACACUGUCGCUUUGUGCGUACCAGCCCGUGAGCCACAGAAAUUCUCGAAUUAAUUUCACACCCAUGUGCUUGGUACGGUCCGCGAGGUGCAGGGCAGAGGAGCGGGCCAGGGCACGGAGCGUGGCGCGGACCCCAGCGUUAUAGUCGGCUAGUUCUGCCAGCAGAGCGGUCUCUGUGGGAAGCCGAUGUGAAGUCGGCCGUGCUGUCGAUGCUGGCCCGGUGAGGGCCUCUCCGCCACGCCUGGGCGAGGAUUCCUACGGCAGGGGGCACCGCCCGGAGCUCCUCCGCAUCCCCGCGCGGCGCCGCUGCCUGAA